rnacentral:misc_RNA from 1 species
AACAUCGCGCACCUGCGGGAACCUGCGGAGGGAUCAUCAUUGAAUAACUUUUUUCCCAAGCUUUUGUCAGGGGAAAGGAUUUCCCUUUUUCUGGGCUGGCUUGGCAAACAACUUUAUAAAUACCCAAAAAGAAUUUCAUCUUCGGCUUCAGCUUUUCAGCUUAUUUUUUAUUGGGUAGGCUGAUGACUGGAAAUGGAGAGGAAAAGGAAAAGGGGAAACCCUGGACCGGAAAUAUAACAU